AAACUAUUUAUUUUUAUUAUAAAAUUUUAUGUGGCUUCGUGUUAUUGUGUGCAUAAGAUAGCAAUAGCACGGCCGUGUCAUGAUCCGGAUUUGGGGCGUGAGAUUUAGUGGUAUCAGAGCAAUAGGUUUAAUAAAGGGUAAAAAAAAAAAGAGUUUUAGUAAGGGAAAUGGGUAGUUAAGUCCCGUUAAAUUAAAUUCGGCAUAUUCAAAAUAAAGAAAAUUAGUUAAUUGAAUUAUGCUAAUAUUUUUUUAUAUAGGUGAAAAUGAGGAACAGAGAGAAUGAAGUCUUGGCAAAUAUUGCAGCUCGGAGGAGAGGAGCAAGAGGGAGAGGAGUUGCCAGGCAGCCAGCCGAGCAAACUCCUAAUCCAGCUGUCACCCAGGCCGAUUUUGCAGGAGCAAGUCAGGUG
rnacentral:lncRNA from 1 species